GCAGUGGACGUGCCAGAGUGGUUAUUGGGUAUGACUAGAAAUCAUAUGGGCUUUGCCCGCGUAGGUUCGAAUCCUACCUCCACGCU
rnacentral:tRNA from 1 species